CCUACGGGGGGCUGCAGGCGCGAAACCUCCGCAAUGCGAGCAAUCGCGACGGGGGGACCCCAAGUGCCACUCUUAACGGGGUGGCUUUUCAUAAGUGUAAAAAGCUUUUGGAAUAAGAGCUGGGCAAGACCGGUGCCAGCCGCCGCGGUAACACUGGCAGCUCAAGUGGUGGCCGUUUUUAUUGGGCCUAAAGCGUUCGUAGCCGGUUUGAUAAGUCUCUGGUGAAAUCCUACAGCUUAACUGUGGGAAUUGCUGGAGAUACUAGCAGACUUGAGGUCGGGAGAGGUUAGAGGAACUCCCAGGGUAGGGGUGAAAUCCUAUAAUCCUGGGAGGACCACCUGUGGCGAAGGCGUCUAACUGGAACGAACCUGACGGUGAGUAACGAAAGCCAGGGGCGCGAACCGGAUUAGAUACCCUGGUAGUCAAA
rnacentral:rRNA from 1 species